rnacentral:rRNA from 1 species
GCAGUACUGGUCCGGCUGGACCUUUCCUUCUGGGGAACCUCAUGGCCUUCACUGGCUGUGGGGGGAACCAGGACUUUUACUGUGAAAAAAUUAGAGUGUUCAAAGCAGGCCUUUGCUCGAAUACAUUAGCAUGGAAUAAUAGAAUAGGACGUGCGGUUCUAUUUUGUUGGUUUCUAGGACCGCCGUAAUGAUUAAUAGGGAUAGUCGGGGGCGUCAGUAUUCAGCUGUCAGAGGUGAAAUUCUUGGAUUUGCUGAAGACUAACUACUGCGAAAGCAUUCGCCAAGGAUGUUUUCAUUAAUCAGGGAACGAAAGUUAGGGGAUCGAAGACGAUCAGAUACCGUCGUAGUCUUAACCAUAAACUAUGCCGACUAGGGAUCGGGCGGUGUUUCUAUGAUGACCCGCUCGGCACCUUACGAGAAAUCAAAGUUUUUGGGUUCUGGGCGGAGUAUGGUCGCAAGGCUGAAACUUAAAGAAAUUGA